rnacentral:misc_RNA from 1 species
UGUGGGAGCGGGCUUGCUCUCGAUGCAGGCGCCGCGGUUUAUCUGGAUAACCGCGUCGAUCCAAUCGCGAGCAAGCCCGCUCCCACA